UGGGGAAUAUUGCACAAUGGGCGCAAGCCCGAUGCAGCAACGCCGCGUGGGCGAUGAAGGCCUUCGGGUCGUAAAGCCCUUUUUGAGGGGAUGAGGAAGGACAGUACCCUCAGAAUAAGCCUCGGCUAACUACGUGCCAGCAGCCGCGGUAAAACGUAGGAGGCGAGCGUUAUCCGGAUUUACUGGGCGUAAAGCGCGUGCAGGCGGAUUGGAGCGUUGGAUGUGAAAGCUCCCGGCUUAACUGGGAGAGGUCGUUCAAUACUUCCAGUCUUGAGUGCAGUAGAGGGAAGUGGAAUUCCGGGUGUAGUGGUGAAAUGCGUAGAUAUCCGGAGGAACACCAGUGGCGAAAGCGGCUUCCUGGACUGUAACUGACGCUCAGACGCGAAAGCUAGGGUAGCAAACG
rnacentral:rRNA from 1 species